AAAGCUCCGGGCGGGUGCAAUAACCCUUGCACCGUUUUCAGGACUGAUCAAUAUUGUUGCAAUUCUGGGAACUGUAGGCCUACGGAUUUUUCCAGGUUCUUCAAAACAAGGUGCCCCGACGCUUACAGUUACCCUAAAGAUGAUCAAACAAGCACGUUUACUUGCCCUGGUGGGACUAACUACAGGGUUGUGUUCUGCCCUUGAAAUCUACUUGCCUUGUGCUUUAUGGAGUUAUAUAGUAGUAGCAGCACUGCUGCUGACAAUAAAGUGCAAGAAGCUUUCACAGCCGCGUGCAUGGAAUGACGUGCUAGAGUGAAGUUGUACACAAACUUCAGAUAUGGAGUUUAUGAAAUUAAUAAAGUUUUUAUAAGCGUUAUGUACUUCAUUGCAGAAGUACAACUCUUUUAGCUUACAAAUUCUUAAUCACGAGUGAAUGGAUAAAUCAAUGUCUGUCUUGGGUAACUUCUAUUUUCUCUACCAUAUCAUUGAGAUUAAUCCACAUACUUUGUUGACUUGGUCUUUUGACCUCACAACAAACUAACUAAUUAAUUGUUUGAUACAUGCAUUUAAUAGUUAAUUCCACUACAUCAUUUUCUCAAGAUUCUAUAUGGUCAAUUUAUACAAGAGUAAAACUGACAAAAUGUUGAUACAGAAUUAAGGCUGCAUUUAAAGGGACAGAGCAAAUUAAUAAAAAGUUAAAGUCAACAUAGUACAAAGUUUCUCUUUAGGAACUACUAGUCAAUAAUCAUGAUGUCAAUGUUAAAAGAUUGCGUAAAUCUCAACCAAAUUGCCUAACGAAAGGUCAUGUUUCCACACAUUAAUUGUAUGUAAAAGGGAGAUAUUGCCCUUUAGAUAUUUUGUUUUGUCAUGAAUGUUAUGUCCAAUAUAAGAAAUCAUCUUUAUUUCUCAAAGAUUUUUCUUCGCUCUAUCUUGUUAAUUCUUUUAUAGACAAAAAAGAAAAGUGCUGUAUUGCACAACAUAGAUAACAACUUGUGCGAGUAAGAUGCCAUCCCUGCAAGGCUGAUUACUAUGAAUCUCAUACCAAUUUUGUUAUGUCAAAUCAAUAAUUAAAUCAAAGUAAAUAAUUAUAUCAGAAAAAGUUAAUUCAAGUCAAAAUUCUUUAUGAUAACUGAGUAGUUAAAAUUAUUUCGGUAAUAUGAUAUGAGGGUUUAUAGUAAUUCACUCAAAAGUAUUUUUAAAUUUUAUUUUUAGCUCUUAAUCUACAUGAUAUAUCCAGAAUUUUGCUCUUUAAAUCUCAUCCAAUAAUUUUUUUUCCAUUGUAUUCUUUCUUUUAUAGUUUAAAUGCAAAAUUUCCAAAUUAAAACGAUAUUGAAAGAUUAAGUUCUAAUUGUAGAAAUGUCCACUAUAAUUAAGCAAAUCAAGAUAAUAAAACUGAAAAGGACAAGCAAAAAAAGUCUCUCUUUCUCUUUUUGAUUAAGUUAUGUUUUGAAUGAUUACGUGACUUUCCCAUAGUAUUCUUUUUUUAGUACCAAGCAAAACUGAAUCUUCUUUCGGAAGAAAUUUGAAUUUCUAAAUUUAAGUCUCAGCACUAGUUUCAAACUAUAUAAUAUAAUAAAACUUUAAAAGACAAUAUUGCAAGAGACUUUCUUACAAUUGUUAAGUCUUUCUCCUCUGGUUGGAGUAGGGCGAAAAUGCUAGGUUAGAGAGGCAAAAAUUGUAUUAUAAUAAUAUUCUUGGUUUAAUAAUUCGAUAGACGUACGUGGAUAGGAAUUGGAGAUGUUUACUAUGACUGCGUUUCGGUUUUCUUCUCUGCUAUUGCAAAAAAAAAGAAGGAGAAAAUUUUGAAAAAGUUAAAGUAUUAUACGUGUCUCAACUGAAGAGGGCUUACAUUUUCUUCUAAAUAAUAUAAUUUAUUAAUUGCUUAUAAUUUCCUUUAAUACUAUUAAGGUGUGAAUGCAUGUAUGAGCACAGGUGUACAAUGAAUAUAUAUAUAUAUAGUAGUCUUUAGUUUUUAGUGCUCUUUUGCCUGUCAAUUCUUCCUUGGAAGAAAAUUCUACCAAGUCCUCUUAAGAAACUUCAGUGGGAUAGAGAUUGGUAAUCACAUAGACUCCAAAAUAUCUUAAAUGUUGGCUUCAAUAUUUUCCUUCAUUUCUAAGUGUAAAUAAACUUUUUCAUUUUGUAAUGUGAACAAUUUGAAGUUACGUAGGUAGGUUCUUAAGUGGAAUGAAGCGUUAAAGUACAUUUACCCUUCUUGCAACUAGUUGUUAAGCUGGCAAGUGGCUACCUUCGUUUACGAUAAAGGCCAUAGCUAGGUACUGGGCUUUGCUCUUGACUUGUCUCAAGUUGGCAAAGAAGUCAAGUGAUGAUAUCAUCUAAAGAUAUUCCAAGCCUCGACACUGACGUCAUUCAAAACAAUUUUCCACAAACAUUAUAAUAGCGUUUGGUACCAGAAAAGUGUAAGUACAUUUUUUUGUAAUAUGUUCAAUUAAAUUAUAUUGUAAUAUAUAUUUUGAAAUAAAUUCACGUAAUGUAAAAUUAUAAUGUAAUCAUAUUACAACAAAAAAAUAUAAUGUGAUUGCAAUCAUAACCAAUACAAUCAUAUUAUAUUACAUUCUGUAAUAUUUUUAAAAUAUUUUAUCUUUUAAUUUUUUAUUAUUAUUUAAAAAUAUUUUAUAAUGUUAUAAUUAAAAUAAAAAAUAUUAAAAUAAUAUAUAUAUAUAAAAUAAAAAUUAAAAUAAAAUAAAAUAUUAAAAAUUAAAAUUUAUAUAAUAUAAGUAAAAGAAAUUAAAAUAAAUAUAAUAAUAUAAAAUAUAUUANAUUAUACUAAGAAACAAAAUAAAAUAUGACAUUAAAAAUAAUUUUAAAAAAUGAUAUUAUAUAAAAAUUAAUAAUAAAAAAUAUAAAUAUAUUAAACUUACAUUUUAAUAAAUAGAGAUAAUUUUAAAAAUUAACAUUAUAUUUUUAACAAAAUACUAUUAUCUUUCUUAUAUUUUAAUCAUUAUUUUACUUAUAUAUCAAAUAUUGUAAUAUUAUUUUUUCUACAAUUACAUUAUUUACAACCACAUUAUCUAUAAUCACAUUACAUUAUAAAAUAUCAAACACUUCCUAUAUUCUUUCCAUUUGAAGUCGUGACGCACUGUAGCCAGUUUUUUUAUUUCCACAAGCAUGAUUCAUAGUUCAAUGCUGUAGAUCCUGACGCACCAACCAGGGGUCUAGUCACUACUCUCGCUUCUCGAUAAACCCACUUCUUUCUCCCCAACUCCAUAGCUAUACAAGAUUAUCAAAAUUCCAACACUUCUGCCGUCCUCCAAAAUGAAGUUCAAAACCGUUACUAUAUUUUCCUUCUCUUUUAUUGCUCUCUACUUCACUGUGGCCAAUGCUGCCACUAUUAACAUUCGAAACAACUGUCCCUACAGGGUCUGGGCUGCAGCGGUGCCCGGUGGUGGCAGGCAGCUGGACAGAGGUGGACCCUGGGACCUAAACGUGAACCCUGGCACCAGAGGUCGUGUCUGGGCUGGAACCAAGUGCCAAUUCGAUGGUGUGGGGCGUGGAAGAUGCGAAACCGGUGACUGUGGGGGGCUCCUCCAGUGCCAAGCCUAUGGUGCACCCCCCCAACACCCUGGUUGAAUACACACUAAGCCAGUUCAAUAGCUUGGAUUUCUUCGAUAUCUCUUUAGUUGAUGGAUUUAAUGUUCCUAUGGACUUUAGUCCAACUUCUGGGGGGUGCAGCCGGGGUAUUCGAUGUACGGCAGAUAUCAUAGGCCAGUGCCCUCAUCAAUUGAAAGCUCCGGGUGGGUGCAAUGACCCUUGCACCGUUUUCAAGACUGAUCAAUAUUGUUGCAAUAACUGUGGUCCUACGGAUUUUUCCAGGUUCUUCAAGACAAGGUGCCCCGACGCUUAGUUACCCUACAGAUGAUCAAACAAGCACGUUUACUUGCCCUGGUGGGACUAACUACAGGGUUGUGUUCUGCCCUUGAAAUGUAUUUGCCUUGUGCUUUAUGUACUUGCCGUAAUUAACGGGACAGAGCCAAUUAAUAAAAGGUUAAAGUC
rnacentral:lncRNA from 1 species